CGACAAAACUCAAUAAUUUAGAUUAGCUACGACAGGUGUUUGCCCGUCAAUCCGGUCAUAUUCAGACAAAGAAACCUUUAUAAAUCAGCCCUUCAUACCCACUAACUUUAUCAUGUUAUCAUUUUAGUGGACAUCAUUUGUUUUAGUCAAUUCAACACUCCAAUUAAAGGUUAAGAUUUGUCUUAAACUUGACGCCUAAACCAUAUGUAUCUAGACAAUUAAUGAACCUGUGCAUGAAUCCGAAGAAACCUGAAGUAAGGCGGUAAGAAUAUUAGUCAUCAUUUCAACUGUACAAGAAAUAGAUAACAAGGCACAUCUUUGAAAGCUUUUUAUUCUAACUUAAUUUCUUGAAGAACAAAAGAGAUAGAGCUUGAUCACGAGGCUUCUUCUGUGCUUGCAUAGGUCAAGUCUCAGAGGUCGGUACAUUUAUUGUUUUGGCUUCUAAUAUGACACAUGCACAUAAAUAUAAAAAUAUAUAUAAUUAUAUAUGAUAUCUUUGUNAUUAAUAUAUUAUAUAUAUAUAUUGUGUGUGUGUAAGAGAGAUAUAUUAACUUUAACCCAAAACCUAAAACCCUAUACAGAUGUUUAUUGCAACUUAUCUCGUAUAUGUAGCUUUGGUCCAUAGACGACAAAACUCAAUAAUUUAAAUUAGUUGUGUCAGGCGUUUGUCCGUCAAUCCGGUCAUAUUCAGACAAAGAAACCUUUAUAAAUCAGCCCUUCAUACCCACUAACUUUAUCAUGCUAUCAUUUCAGUGGACAACCUUUGUUUUAGUCAAUUCAACACUCCAAUUAAAGAUUAGGAUUUGUCUUAAACUUGACGCCUAAACCAUAUGUAUCUAGACAAUUAAUGAACCUGUGCAUGAAUCCGAAGAAACCUGAAGUAAGGCGGUAAGAAUAUUAGUCAUCAUUUCAACUGUACAAGAAAUAGAUAACAAGGCAC
rnacentral:lncRNA from 1 species